CCUGCCUGGUAGCGGGGGAUAACUAUUGGAAACGAUAGCUAAUACCGCAUAAUAUCUUUGAUUGCAUGAUUGAAGUUUGAAAGAUGCAACUGCAUCACUACCAGAUGGACCUGCGUUGUAUUANCUAGUAGGUGAGGUAAAGGCUCGCCUAGGCGACGAUACAUAGCCGACCUGAGAGGGUGAACGGCCACCCUGGGACUGAGACACGGCCCAGACUCCUACGGGAGGNAGCAGUAGGGAAUCUUCGGCAAAGGGGGCAACCCUGNCCGAGCAACGCCGCGUGAGUGAAGAAGGUUUUCGGAUCGUAAAGCUCUGUUGUAAGAGAAAAACGUGUGUGAGAGUGGAAAGUUCACACNGUGACGGUAACUUACCAGAAAGGGACGGCUAACUACGUGCCAGCAGCCGCGGUAAUACGUAGGUCCCGAGCGUUAUCCGGAUUUAUUGGGCGUAAUGCGAGCGCAGGCGGUUGGAUAAGUCUGAAGUUAAAGGCUGUGGCUCAACCAUAGUAUGCUUUGGAAACUGUUCAACUUGAGUGCAGAAGGGGAGAGUGGAAUUC
rnacentral:rRNA from 1 species